rnacentral:rRNA from 1 species
GCUUACGGCCAUAUCACGUUGAAAGCACCGGUUCUCGUCUGAUCACCGAAGUUAAGCAACAUCGAGCCUAGUUAGUACUUAGAUGGGUGACCGCUUGGGAAACCUAGGUGCUAUAAGCA